rnacentral:rRNA from 1 species
CCCUUUAGAUGUUCUGGGCUGCACGCGCGCUACACUGAUGCAAUCAACAAGUCUAUCACCUUGGCCGACAGGUCUGGGUAAACUUUUGAAAUUGCAUCGUGCUGGGGAUCGAUGAUUGUAAUUAUUCAUCGUCAACGAGGAAUACCUAGUAAGCGCAAGUCAUCAGCUUGCGUUGAUUACGUCCCUGCCCUUUGUACACACCGCCCGUCGCUCCUACCGAUGAAUGGUCCGGUGAGCAUUUAGGAUUUUAGGCAUAUGCCUUGCUGGCUUCGGCUGGUAGGUUUGUCAGAGAAUUUGUGCAAACCUUGCCAUUUAGAGGAAGGAGAAGUCGUAACA